AAGGAAAGUGAAUAAAGAUAUUAACGUUGUAUAUGCGUCUUCUUCUUCGGUUUACGGAAGAAACAAAAAAGUUCCAUUUAAGGAGAAGGACGAAAUAAACUUACCAUCAAGUAUGUAUGCCGUUUCGAAAAAAGUUGGAGAAGAUAUUGCGAGUGUUUAUCAUUAUUUAUAUAACAUCCAUUUUACUGGUCUUCGCUUUUUUACUGUAUAUGGUCCAUGGGGCAGGCCGGAUAU